rnacentral:RNase_P_RNA from 1 species
GGAGGGAAGCUCGUGGGUGGGGCCGUGAGCUGAGUGGGUUUAGUCACUCUACCCCAUGGCUCAUGGGAAGGUGUGAGACUAGGGCCAAAAUCGGCCCCAACAGGGCCCUCCUUGAGCUUCAGGGAGGUGAGUUCCCGGGGCGGGGGGGGGGGGCGGAAGAUCAGAGUUUGCUAAACAGGGCUCCUCUCAAGGAACCCAGCUCACUGAGUCUACAGGCAUCAGCUGGCCACUGUUGCUUUGCUCUACAGGAGUCAGGUCUUCGGGAACCAGCACAAAUGUUGUUACUCUGGCUGCUGCUAUUGCUGUGAUUAAUAAACUGUUCUUUGUCUCU